UGGACGACCAAUCGUUCCUGCUACUCCAGCUUCCCGCCUCCCAGCUUGAAUUGGUGCUGCCACUACGGCCAGCAAGCAUCCGCCGCCAAGAUUCAUGCAUGGCUGCUUCGCGUACGCCAACACGCCCUGUCUUACCACCGGCAUGCUGCUGCUCAUCCUGCCGUCUACACGCCCUGUCUUACCACCGGCAUGCUGCUGCUCAUCCUGCCGUCUACACGCCCUUGCAGAUUCAGUGCACCGGGAGAAGAAAAAUCAAUGAAAAAUAGAAAGACCAGAUGUUAUACGCAAUGAGAGAUGACACACAUCAAGGGACUUAUUUGUGAAGGACCGAACUAACAACAUUCAUAUACUGUUUAAAAGCUUGGGGCUUCCCUUGAAUGUCAACACUCAUUUAGUUCUACACCAGUCAAUGUAAAAAAUUAAGGAGCAGCAUCAAAGAUCAACCAAAAUGUUACAAAAUAAUUUAAAAACGCAAGGCCCAAAUCUGGAAUGGUCAUUGUGAAUUGGCUCAGAGAAUGUGAACCAUAUAACCUGGAAAGUGCUAUAUAUAACAGUAUAACCGAAGAUUAUCACAAAAUUCAUAACUGUCAACCUCUAGUCCUCUACCGACACAGUUGUGCCCAUUAAAAAAUCACCAAAUUUGAGGUUGAAAUUAAAUUGCAUUUAAGCCAAGGUUAUGAUCAAAUAUAGUAUUCCCGCAAAAAAACAGCUUAAGAGAAGUUGUAAGAUUUUAGGACAUAAAUUUGUUGGAUAACUGCAUAUAAAUAUGUUUUAUAGAACUAAACUCUCUUAUAUUUCUUUAUAGAAGGAGUACUUCACAAUCUGAAUACAAACUGAUAUACAUGAGUAGAGCCAGAGCUUUCUGAAUCAUCAAUUAGACAAUUAGGAUAUGCUAUUAUACCUCCCGGUCUAGGAUGCAAUCAACUAAAAAGUCUUAAGGUCCCAAAAUUUAACAAUUGUCAUUUGAACCUACAGAAGCUUGUGGAAAGAACAGAAAGCAAAAGUUACAACUAACCAAGUCUAGAUGAUAUAUAAAUUAUUUUGGAGGAAAGAUGUUAUCUAGGAACACAUCUUAUGUUUUUGGACAGGUAUCACUGACCCCAAAAAUAUAAAGGAUGUCUUUCGCUAGAGCGUGAGUUUAUUCACCUUGUUAAUAUUAGCACUGUUGUGAGCAACUGAGCAUAUAUGGCAACUUUAUAGGUUGGACCAAACAAUAGAUUCUCCUGUAAUUUGUGUGCUACUGCUUAAUAGGUUGGAUCAAAAUCUUACCUUCACAGAACUCUUAGCCCUACCAGAAACAAUCCACCGACCAUCAGGAGCGAAUCAAGCAGAUCAAUCCUCUCA
rnacentral:lncRNA from 1 species